rnacentral:rRNA from 1 species
GUAGGGAAUCUUGCGCAAUGGGCGAAAGCCUGACGCAGCCAUGCCGCGUGAAUGAUGAAGGUCUUAGGAUUGUAAAAUUCUUUCACCGGGGACGAUAAUGACGGUACCCGGAGAAGAAGCCCCGGCUAACUUCGUGCCAGCAGCCGCGGUAAUACGAAGGGGGCUAGCGUUGCUCGGAAUUACUGGGCGUAAAGGGCGCGUAGGCGGACAGCUUAGUCAGAGGUGAAAGCCCAGGGCUCAACCUUGAAAUUGCCUUUGAUACUGGCUGUCUUGAGUUUGGGAGAGGUGAGUGGAACUCCGAGUGUAGAGGUGAAAUUCGUAGAUAUUCGGAAGAACACCAGUGGCGAAGGCGACUCACUGGCCCAAUACUGACGCUGAGGCGCGAAAGCGUGGGGAGCAAACAGGAUUAGAUACCCGAGUAGUCC